GUCUGGAGCCUCAAAAAAAUAACUAAGUGUGUUGUAUAUGUGUGGGUCGAUCGCGGUAGGUUGGUUGAACGAAAAGUAGAUCGUCAAUAAAGGUUGGCCACCCCUGCUCUACAGAAUGCACCGCACGGAAAAAACAUUUACCGUAUUUUCACAACUAUAAGGCGCCAUUAAAAGUCUUACAUUUUCUCCAAAAUGGACAGGAUGCCUUAUAAUGCGGAGCGUCUAGUGUAUGAGCCGAGUUCCAAAGCAUGACUGAGAGUGCUUCUGGCUGACACGCUGUUUAUAUAGAGAAAAGGCGGAGUGAGUGAUGACAGGGAUGCGGAAGUCCGCCAAUGAGUGAAGGGUAGGCGUGUAUGAGGACGCUGAAGGCACUUCGCUAGCAGGUACCAGUCGCCAAUGAGUGAAGGGUGAGCGUGUAAGAGGUGAAGAGAAAAACGUGAGAACAUUGUAAAAUGGCUAAAUAAAGUACAACUGAACUCAGUUUUGCUUCCGUUGCCUUUUUAAAAACGUGUUUUUAGCGUGCGUGCAUGCAUGCCGUAUGUUUAAGCUGGCGUAUGUUUUACCAUGCCUGGCUACGCCCAAUAAUACAGUGCGUUUGUGUAUGUGUCAAACACAGAAAUAGCACCCGUGACAGAGACUGCGCGCAACAAUACGGUGCACCGAAUGGUCAUGAAAAUACGGUAAUCAGGAAGGCUCAUUGUGUAAUUGUAGCAAACUAACUGAUUGUAAAUUUCCCCCUUUGCGGGACAAAUAAAGGACAUCUUAAGUGAUUCCUCAUUUUUAACAAAACAACAAAAAACUUGGUUGACUUUUUUUUGGUGCUUUUUUAGUGCUUCUUCAAACUCAAAAGGUCAAAUUUUGAUUCAUAUGAAUCCACAGUUUUUUCCGGGGUUUGGCACGAGCCAUGGAAGUAAAGAAAGUCUUAAAAGUAUUGUAUUGUUUGCAAUAUAUUCAGAAAAA